UUAAAUCUUUAGUAUGAAUUUCUUUUUAUCAAAUUCCUGAAGAUUUGAAACAAGAUGCGUUCUAAUGGCUUUUUUGCUCAGCUGUUUGUUUGGUUUUGUUUUUGCAAAGUUGGAGACUUGUUUUGCAUGGCUGAAUUUGUGAGCAGUGCAUUUGUGAUGGAACAACACAAAAGUGAGCGUUUCUGGCCUGAAUUUGUAAACACUGUCCUGGUUAACCAGGGUUCCUUGCUGAAAUCGUAGUGAAUUUCAUCUUGAGCAGGAAUUGGAUAAAGAGAGUUUUGUAAAGGCACAGGACAUUGCGGAUGCCUUCCUGUAGCAUUUCAUUCUGGUAAAGUAAGAAUGCUUUGCAUUUCUUAAAAAGUGUAUUUCCUUGAAACAGGAGCUGCUUAAUAACCUCAGGGAUGGCAGCGUGGUGGGAGCUGCUCCUGUGCGGUCUGUCACUGCUCUGGCCCCGCUGCCACGAGCAGGCAUGCUCAUUUGUGAGGUUUCCUUGUUUGAUAAACAUAACACUUGGCUUUUGUUCUCUUACUUAAUCAUUUCCUUCGAAGAGUUAACUUCCUAAGCAGCCACAGAUUAGUUCUCUCAGUUGUUUUAAUUAUUUUUCUUGUCACGCACAGUGCAGGUCCAGUGUUUGUGAAAUGUCGUCUUUUAUUUUGUCCCCCCUUCCAUUGCUGCCUCAACGACGCUGGCACUGCAGGCUGAGCUGUAAGGCUUGCUGGCAUCUACUCAUUAUUACCAAGUUUCACCUCUUUGAAUAUCGGUGCUACAGAACUGAGUACUUUUCCCUGAGGGUGAUGUGAGCACUCCGGUAUUUUGUAUUUCUGCACUUUAGCACUGGGCUUCCACGUGCUCACUGCUGAGCAAUUUCCUUUUGUACUGCUGACAGGUGACUCAAAGCAGGAGGAGCAGAUGUCUGCGGCGUCCGCUGGUGUGACUGCAGCCUUAGGAGAUGAGUUUUGGAAUCCCCAUCAAAGUCAGGAUUAGGCUCAGGAUCCUCCAGCAGCGCCGAGCCCGCCGGGGGAGUGCAGAGGAAGAGGAAACCAUUCACAGCGACUCAUCGUGUGGUUGGGUGAUUCAGGGGUCUGCUGGUGACGGUCACAGAGGCACGUGGCUCGCUGCACCGUCUUUGUCUGCUGUGCAGGAUGCAAACGGUCUCCGAACAUUAAUUCUGCCCUUUUGAUUUUUGUCCGGUGAAUUAUUUCCAGAAAGGAAUUACUGUGUUUUCUGGAAUGAGUGUUGUGAAAUUCUUUUCUUUACAGUGGGCGAGUUUUCAGCUGGUGAUUUAUCAACCAAGUAUUUUACGGGAUCGCAGUUAAAGGCUCUUCUAUAAAAAAAAAAAAAAUACCCGGUGUGAUAGGGAAAGUAAAAGUGUCUUGGUUUCCAAAUGAUGGAGGAAUAACCGAAAGAGCGAGUUCUUGGAAUAGUAGCUCCAUUGGCACUCGUUGGUGAUUUCCUGCGCGUUUGCUGAAAGAAGCACUUGGUGAUGUGAGUAGGUGGUACUAAAGGGUUAUUACGAAACCAAUUUCAACCAGACAUUUGAGUCAUGGAUUGGGAAGAAGGAGAGCAGCUUCCAAGCUUUCUCUUUGUUCGAGCUGAGCACAUGAGAGGCACAGGCAGGAUAUUCUGUGUUGGUGUGGAGAAGGAUGGAGCAGGAGCUGGUCUGGCAUUCGAUGAUGCUCUCUUCCUCGUGCCACCGUGUGCUGCAGUGGGCAGUGAGGAUGUGGGCUGCAGGAGCUGGCAGCAGCACGUAAGGUGCAUGCGGAGCACUUCCCUGCCUGUGGCUCGAUUUGAAAAUGUAAGUAACUGCUCGUGGCUUCUCCAGACGUGAGAGACAAAAUGGAGCUGUGUCAGGAUGAACGUCUGCGCCAGGGCAAGCUGGUUUGUUGGAGCAGUUUGGUUCUGUUCUGUGAGCAGCUGAGCUGCCACUGGCAGCAGACAGUUGGCUUCUCCAUCAGGGAAAAAAAAACAGGGGGUGUUUAAGGGAAUUGGUUUGGCUCCUAAACCGAAGGAAUUGUUGACCUACUGACUCAGUUAUGAAGAAUCAGGGAAACGGUCUUAUUGUGGUUUCUUUUGUUGGUAGCAGAUUCAGAAGACAUCUGUGAGCGUACGGGUAGGACUAGCACAGGAGAGGUGCUUCUGGUACCUGCUGCAUGCUGCAUGGAUUUUGUGCCAGGAAGGAGCUGAGGUGCUGACUGCUCAGCAACACCUAAGCUUGAUUUCUGAUCCUUUUCCUGAUAAUGCAGUGAGUGUCCCAAAUGAUGAGAGGAUUGCACUGCAAGACUUCAGAGAGGAGUUUUUUGUUUGCUUUCCUUAAAACCACCUAAGAAGCUCCAUACAGGCUAGGGAUGUUGAAGCGAGAGGUGAGGACAAGAAUAUUAUAAGAGGUUAAAUUACUAUUAGAGAGUGGAUUGAAGGUAUUUGGGAAUUGGAUUGUGUAACCAAAUGGGGAAAUGAAUGAGAGACAUGUGAAUGGGUGGCUUAGUGUGAUUGAGUAAGAGAAAAUGCGAGUGGGCGGGUAAUUAGACUGGCAAGUGAGAGAGGAGGUACGAGUGGGUGAGUUGAUGGGUAGGUAUGUAGCAAAAAAGUUGAAGCCAUUUUAUGGGCCAACUAACGAUACCUGAAGGAAUGGCAAAACAAACAUCCCAAGGCUUGCAGGCAUCAUGGUGUGCUUGGGUAGAAAGGAGAGCUCCAAGACCUCUCUUGCUUUCCAGCAGUCUGUAUCCAGCUCCACUGCUUCAAGUGGAGCUUCAGGUUCAGGUGUGCCUGUGCACCUGGUGAACCGUUGUUCGUACCUUAGUCAGUUGUUGAUGUUCAUGCAAGAAUACAUGAGAUGAUCACCAGUUGAUGGUGGUUUUGACUCUUACAUGAAAGAGAAGCUAUGUGAACUCAGCAUAUGCUUUAGCCUGUCUGGGGCAUUGCCGUUUUGUGGUGGUAUCUCCAGUAGUUGCAGUGAUUUAGAGCUGUAGAUGGAAGGAGCUACCUGGCAAAUAUUACAGAAUCACAGAAUGGUGGAGGUGGAAAGGGACCUCUGUGUCCAUUGGUCCAUAGCCUGCUCAAGGGGAAAAAACCCAGAGCUGUGCUCAGCCCCACAUCUGGCUGGGUUCAGAGGUCCCUGAGGAAGAGACCCCACAGCCUCAGGAUCUGUCUGCUAGAGAUUUGUCACCCACACAGCACAGCAGUGUUGCCUGGUGACCAGAAGGAGCCUCUUAGGCUCCAAAUGAUGCCCAGUGCCUGUUCUUCUGGGCCUGUGUCGGCCACCACUGAGCAGAGCCUGUCUCCAUCCUCUCUGUGACCUCCCUUCAGGUAUUCAGGGGUGUGCUGGGAUUCCCAGAGCUGCUUCUCCUUCAGGGGAGCAGUCCUAGUUCUCAGCCUCACUGUAAGUAGAGGCCGAGAUUGGAGGUACAAAGAUGGACGUGCUCAAGUUACAGAUGUUUAACAUGUCAGCCUAGCAGCAUUUCCCACACUAAGAAAACAUUUCAUUUGAAUGAACAUAACACAAAGUUUAAGUAUUCUUAAAUAAUCAGCAAACCAUGACUGACAACUUUAAUUAGAUUUUUUUUUCCUGUAUCUGGUAUAUUAGUUCACUAUGUCUAAUCAGUAAUUGGUUUUAGUUUACCAUAGCAGAGUUUAAACCCUAUCUGUGACCUUUUCUAGUCAGAUACAGUCAAGCUAUUGUUGAAGGUAAUUACUGUACUAUCCUGUUAAGGUACACUGGGUUGUGUAUGGUAUGUUUUCAAUAUUUGUUUUAAUAAAGCAAGUCCUUUUCAAGCCCAAAUAGGGUUGAAUGACUCUUGCAGAAAGUUACAGGCUUUAUCUUAGCUGCCAGAAAGGUGUGUGUUUGCUAAGGAAUAACUAAAACACUGGGAUUGAAAUACCCUACUGGAGACCAGGCCCUGCAGGUCUUUACAUCGAGUAACCAGGCACGGUGAGAGUUUUGCCUUGCUUGAACCUACUUCUUGAGGAAGACUGCUGUGCUUCAUACGUGCUCUAACAGCAGGAUGAGGGCCUAGCACACCACCCAGCCUGCUGUACCAAACAAGGUCGCUCUACCAUAGUCUUUUUUUCAUCUUAAGCGUCACCUGUUGCGAUCUAAAUCUCCUCCAAAGCUGUAAGUAUAGUCACGCAAGCUCCUACAGUAGUCUGUUUAAUCUUUUUUAUCUGAGACAAAUCCAGAAAUAUUUUGCUGUACUAAGGCAGAUGCUGUGCUGGUACAAGGACUCAAAUCUCUUGCUAAUGUUCAAAUGCCGUAGUGACUGUGCAAAGUAAGAUGCAGAGGAAUGUGUGGGUAUGUUUAAUGCAAGCCUGCUGGGUUGUAGAUCUGUCAAAGUCCCACAUUUGCAUUACUUACAUAAGCACAAAUCCCAGUAGUGUUUACUCGUGCUUUGUGUUUUAGGAACUGCAGGAAUUGAAUUGCUAGGGUGAAAAUCCCCUUCUUACUGCCAUCAGCGGGAUUGCUUAGAAGCUGGUAAAAUAUUGACAGUUGCAGCCCUAACUAGAAGCUUGUUUGCUGUUACGUUUGAUAUUAUAACUAAUCACAACAACCGUAAGAGCAGCAAGCGUCCUCUUUGGAAACACGCGUUGUCAUAAGAUUCUGAGAGUACAUAGGAAAGAAAACAUUAAAGUUUCUUUUCUGUUUAAUUAAUUGUUUGUUUUUUUGGCGGUGGCAAGGUUACAAAGGAUUUGUAAUAAGCAUGCUUCGUCUGUUGCCAUUUUUUUUCCAUAUGGGUGUGUGCUUCCUUUUCAUUAUGUUGUUUUUCUUUCUUUUUUUUUUUUUCUUUUAGCAUAGCCGCUCCUUUCAUUUUUAGACUGAGGAAAGAGCUGCAGAAAAAAGCUUUCGUAAACACUGCGGUUCUGAUCAUUCUAAUCCUUUAUUACCUGAAGGGGCGGUUGCAGGAAGCUGCUACAGGGAAGGAGGUUUACAGUUUCCUAAAGGUUUGGGAUUGUACGAUGAAGCAGCGUAUUUUAGAUGCUACGGAGAAUGUUCAGAGCAACAUGGUCAAAAGGUGCGUUGUUACAUCCCUUUGGCUUGGCUUACUUGACUUUAAUUCUGCCCCAUAGAGUUCUGAGCCUGUGAAGCUGUCAUCUUAAGCACAAAACUGGAACAGGUUACCUAAAGUCUGUGCAUUAUCUUAAUUGUUUCCUGCUGUUGUAAAACAGAUUUUAUUUCAGAAGAUAAUAUCUCAAUACUUUCAUUACUGGGCUUUUUCUGUUUGUUCAAGGGACGUGCUAAGGAGAAAGUGAAGGAAAACACUCGAUCUCAGAAAGAAGAAAGUAAUUAAUGCUGUUAGUUGUACUGACUGUAAUGCUGAGAUAGCGUCUGUAGGAAAAUGGCCAGACGGCUUAAACAAGAAGUAAGAAUAUUUUUAGCAGGCUGAAGCUGCUUAAAAUGCUGAAAUGGGAGUAGGACAGGGAGGGUGGUUUUGGGGAAAAAAAAAUUAAAAAAAAUUGACAAAGUCACUCAUCCCAUCCCUUGUGAUGCUCUGAAUUUCUUCUUUUUUUCUCCCUAUGGUCAGUCAUGUGUUCCAGUUGUGUUUGCUGCCUUAAGACUGUAACUACUUGCAAGGGGUAUCUUAUUUUCCUAAUAUUAAAAAUAGGGGUGUGUAAUAAUAAUAAUGUCUUUGUAGUGAUUCCUCCCUGGAAGACCUGUCACACUCUGCAUUAGAGUUCAGGGCUCCCUGUUACGUGUUGCUGUGUUUUGUGGAUGGACACUCCAGCAAUGUGGGCUUAUUAAGUUACAGCUAUGGUCUGAAAGAUUGUUCAGAGCAGCUUAUUUUUUUAUUGCCAGACAGGAUUUCGCCGUUCCUUUGUCUUGUUUGGUCCAGUAGAACCAGUCCAUUUGUCAGAGAAGGAUUUGUCUGCUUAAAAAAAACCAUACAGUUCCUUGACUAGAAGAAAUGCUUAGCAGCUAACACGGAGUAAGAGAUGGCAGUUCUCUGGUGGCUCAGGAGAUGCUGCAAGCUUAAGGGAUCUAAUGUGAAGGCACACAAACGGACCAAAUCAUGGCUACAUCCCAAGGUUUGAGAUUCUGUAAAAUGGUAUCUUAAGUGGUACACCCAUUAAAAUGUGCAUACAGUAACUGUCACACAGCCCUUUAUAAUAGGAAGGCAACCUUCUUACUUGACUAAAGUUAAUAAAAUUGUGUCAAGGAGUGGGAUAACUAUAAUAUGGAAUAAGAGGAGAUUAACCUUUCCAGUCUCAGAAUCUGUAACUGAAGUAUUGUGGCAAAAAGCUAAAAUAAAACAGCUGUACAUGCUACAAGCACAGAUUGGAUAAGGGACUCUGAAGAAUUGAUUUUGCCAUAGGUAAGGAAGUGGGCUUCUGAGCUGCUUGAAUUUCUCAGAUGCAUUUGCUUCUGUUGCUCACAUGUACUGCGUAAUGAAUUGCCAUUUUGAGCAUGCAGCUCUCAAAGAUGAGGUUUUCAAAGCGCUCAGCAGCAGACAGCACCUAUGUGCUUCAUUCCAGCUCGUGGUGACACCUUCUGGAUACUGGGAAAUUGGAAAAUUUCACCUGCCAUGUGGAUAAUUCAUUGCAAGUUGAAUUUUUUUUUUUUCUAUAACAUAGUGUGCAUAGUAGUACAAGAAAAUUGUCUGGAUCUGCUGUCUCCCAGGCCUGUAACGUUGUAAAGUAUUUUCUUUACAAAUUGCUUUUAAAACACAAAUGCGCGUAUUUGAAUAUGCUCUGCAGAUUUGUAUAUUUCUGUGUUUGGAAGAAACCCAUAAAAUUAUUUCCAUAUUCCUUUCAGUAAAUCUCUAGUUUAUUAUUCUGAGAAAAUUUGAUGCAUCUGCUGUGCGCAAUGAUCUGCCUUUCUGAGCCGCAGAUGCACAGCCUUGCAUAUCUUGUCAGAUCAGUGUAGCAACUGCUUUUACAAAGUACGUGACAAUGUACAACCUCCUAUCUGAGAACCAGAUCAGACUUAAAAUUGGGACUGGGUCCAAAAAAAUAAAAUACUGCAAUCAAUCUACUCCCUGUGUCAGCAUUCAGAUUCAUUUCUGUUACAUACACUGCUGGGAACUAAAGCGGAAAAUACACGCUGCCAUCCAGAAACAGAUUCCUGAGUCAUGGAAGAUGGCUGAGAUGGGCGUUGUUGAUAGGAGUUGCUUAAAGGCUCCCAUUUUUGCAGAAGCCUUCUGGUCUGACAGACGCUGAAGGCAGUGUUCUAAGCCUGCGUGACACUAAGGAAGUCACUGUGUGACAAUCCGGAUGCCACGUGACUUCCCUGUUUACAGUCAGCUCAGCUGUAAAUACAUGUAUGUGAAACAGCAGCAGCAGAAUUAUCUGCUCCUGUCGUAACAUCCUCGGUCUGUGUGGUCGUCAGCCUUCCACCUCCUCCUCGAUACCAGUGGGGAUUUGCAGCAUUCAGUCCCUGGAAGACUGUAUUUAAGAGCUGAUGAGUUCAGACUGCCUUGACCUCUUGCUUAAGAGCAUGUGUUUCCUUCCCGUCUGCCUGCUUGCUGCUAUUCUUGGCUGCUGGCCGGCACCUCUCCUGUCCACAGGCACGUGGCGUGUGGGCAGGUGGUCUUCUCCUCACCCAUGUCCUGCAUGCUUUCUGCUUAACCCUGUCAUUUCCCUUUUCCCAGCGUUAGCCACCAUCUCUGCAGUGGGCUUGGUGGAAGCAGAUGAGUUAGCAGCGUUCCAGCGAGGAGGAUGGACAGCCCUGAGAGCCACUGCCACGGCCAUGGGCAGCGCUCAGGUGCUGAUCUCUGCAAGUGCCUUCCCUAUGCCAAAGAAAGAACAUGUUUUUGAUGGAAAACCUACUUUUAAAUGAGUACAAACGGUAAGGUAAAUAAUCCCCAUUCCAGUAAGUUGAUGGAAUACAUUCUCUACACGGGAUGUGUUUCCUGCUGAGAAAUAUGUGGACAAAUAUAUCUGGCAUGUAUUGUGGUUCUCACUGUGCAGCCUGGUAUGUAGGAAGUAGGCAUCUUGAAAAAAUGAAUUUUUUUCUUCUUAAACAUGACAGAAGAGAGAUUCAAAGGUGGUUUGUUUUGUUCUGAAAAUAUUUCUGGUUUGGCUUUUGUGUUUUUUGCAAUGUCACUCCUCAUAGGAGGAGUCAGGAAUACUUGAAUCUUCAGAUAGAAGAUCUUUUGCAGCCUGUUUAUCAGGUAUGGGGAUGCAUUUGGGAUUAAAAAUAAUCACGUUUGGGUCUGAUUUGAUUUCUUAUCCCUGUUAUUUGCUAUCUUCUUUUUUUCUGCUAGUUUUAUUUUACUUGCUCUCCAGUUAUCAGAGAAUCUUUCAAAAUAGUCAUGAUUGAAGGCUGUGUAAUACCAGAAAAAAUACAGAGAAAUAAACACUUUUGUGUGUGUUCAUUGUUACUUUUGAGUCAUACCUAAGAGGAAUUAUUUCCAGAUCACCUUUCUUUCUCUGACAGGCAAGUUAGCAAGAUUUUUUUAUGUAGCAGUGUAAGUAAAUCCAGUACUGAAGAUAUGCAGAGGGGAGAAAAAGUUACGAGCGCCUCAUUUGGAGAGCUCCCUUUGUAGAGGCAUGAGUGGAUGUGGUACAAUGCAAAGCACAAGAAUGUAGACAGUAGGUGUAGUUUUUGAGUGCUUCGUGACAGGACCAUUUCUGCUUAGCAUUAGGAUUAGCACUUCCCUUGGAUCUUACGUAACGGAGACUUUGCUGGGGUGGUUUCUAAAUAAGAUCAUUGCUCUUCAGAUUCCAAAAGAUGUAAGUCAGAGGAAAUAUUUUAAACUGAAGAACUGUUUUAUUUUCGUAGUGAUUAUUGGUUUCCUCCCUGUUCCCAGUAAGAAACUACAGUGUAUGUAAAACAGCAGUGGGAAUGAAAAAAAUGAUGUUUUUAGAGUAAAAAGACAUCAGGAAGAAACAGUGGGUUUUGCUGCGAAUGGUAAUGUACUUCUAACACACCUUAAAAAAUAGGGCAUUAAGUUAGUCAUUGAUCUUCCUGUACAAUUUCUAAAGCGCAGCAUGUGACACUUCUGUCCAGAAAGCUAUGAUGCCCUCCAAAAAAAAAAAAAGAUUGCACACCUCUCUGCUGCCCCAAAGAUUGCUGUUCGACAGAGCAGCAGUCAGCUGCUGUGCUGAUGGGCACAGGAUGGGUACAUGGGCAGAAAUAGUGGAGUGAGAGACAGAAGCCUGGCUACUCCUGUUCCCUUCCUGUUUCAGUAGCUCUUUCUGAGUUGGGGGAUGGCUGAUUCCAAGGAGUUAGACAGACUGUUUCACUGUUCUCUGCCUCACAUUCUCACAAGUACUGCAAAAAAGAAGCGUGAUGGUAAUAUUCAUAUAGAUCUGCUUAUCAUUCCUUGCAGAGCAGUGAGUACUGGUUGUGCUUGAAUUUGAGUGCACAGAAAUCUCUCUCCCCCUGUAAGAAUUGAAGUCAGUUCUUUUACAGUAAUUUUUAGUAAUGCAUAAUUCAUAUACUAUAGUUUUUGUCACAUGAGCAUCUCACUGUAUUUUUCCCAGCUUGAUAAGCUUGCUUUUGUAUUUUUAGGAUUUCUUUUUCCCUAAUAAUCCCAAAAAUAUGAAGAGGUUUCAGAGACUUGCAUAGCAAGGAGAUUGCUUCAUUCAGUAGGUGAUUCUCCUGCUCCUACUAUUUACAGGUCCUUCUUCUGCAAGGAAUUAUUUACCCUAGUAUGGGGCUAUGCCACUGCCAGGGAUUCAGUGCCUCAAAGUAAAACAAAUGAGUUAAAUCUUACUUUUAUCAUUCAGUAAUUUUUGGAUCUCUAGUCCAAAGUGACUCAUUUGACAGGGAACACAGUGUCUGUUUUCUAAGUUUAGUAGUAAACUUUGGUUGCCUGUUUUAUUGAUUUGACUGUAAAAGCACUCGAAGUUCAGACCUUGAGAAAUGGGCUCAAAGCCUGUUGAGGAGUCUGGAGGAAGAGAAGAAUGAUUAUGAGGUUACAUUUUCAAUUGUCUAUUUCAAGAGCAACACAAACAGCUUCUGACAUUUUAUUUUUUUUUUCCAGAUUGAGGACAACCCUUUCUUGUUCAUAAUGGAUUGCUCAGAAAAAAAGACAAUUGGACAUGGUAGAAGCUGUUUUUUUCCUAAGCGUGGCCCAAGGACAGCUGCAUCAGUACAACUGGAGGUGACAUGAACUGCAGCAUCAGAGACACAGCAAGCACUGGAGGAUGUCCCAAUGUUAAGUGAUCUUGCUGUCAGCAAAAACCUGCUCUGGUACUGUAUCCCAGUUGGACGGGUUUCACUGGGUAUAGAAAUAUUUAUUGAACUGUUCAUUUGUUUGUUUGUUUUUAAGGAUUAAUAUCUUGGGGGUUUUUGUUGUUUGGAAUUUUUUUUUUGCUUGUGAUAAAACAUCUAUCUGAGAAAUAAGUCAGCUUUGUGGACAGCCAGUGGAUGUCAAUAAAGUCUUGGCAAACACAGUAGGUAUUUAUUCAGCCUUGCAAAUUAGAAACAUUUCUCCUGCUUGUUUUAUGAAGGGAACAAAAAAAGACAAAUUACAUAGCGGAUGAGCUCUCUUGAUAGUUGGAAUUCGUUAGUCUGGUGGUGAAAACGCUGGGGGAUUUAUGGUGCAGAAAAAUAAAAGAUGAAACAGCUUUUCACCAAUAGCAGUGGUUUAAGUUCUCAUUGAAAAUUACUGGGGAAAAACCCUUUAAAGACAUCUGUAGCUGACUUCACAGUCUCAAUUACUGUCUUGGUAGGCAGUUCUUCCCUUCCUCACUGCUGUAAGUAUUAAUUGUUUUUUAAGCUGGCAAACAAUUCCUUUAUAGUUCCUCAGUCUUACUGCCGUGGGAUAUCUGCAGCAGCUCGUAAGUAUACGUGGCCAAGUGUUGAGUAGGAAGUUCACACUGUUGCUUCCCAUGCAAUAGCCACUCUGUUAACAGAGGCUUUCUGCAAAGUUAUCAAUCUGUCAUCUUCUCUUGGCUUCACAUUUUAUUAAAAAAAGGAAUUUGAAAAGUUACAGUAAGUUGAACAAUUUGUCAGACAAAAGUAACUUGAAGGCUAUUGUCUCCGAAUUGUAGGCUGACUCGGUCUUGCAGCCUGUCAUGGAUGGAUCAUAAAAUUGUCAUAGGUAAAAGCUUUAACAAAGUCCACUUAGGCAGCUCCUGUGAUGGCAGAACAUGGAAAGGAAGCAAUAUACUGAAAGACCUGGUAAGCCUUUGGCUGCAGCUAAAUCACUCAUAAGUCACUAGAAUUAUUCAACAGCAAAACAAAACCAGAGAAAACUCCAAACUUGCAGUGGUUUAAUCUCUGGCGUAGCUUCACUUGUGUAAGUAAUCUCACUGAUGUCGGAUAAGACCUUGUGAAUUCUGUAAUAUUGAAGAUCAACUGGUGAUGCUUUAUUUCCUCUGAAAGGAUACAGAAUAGUGUUAAUUUGUAACUACAGAAACAAUGAAAUAGGAAGCUUGUCCAUUUCUAGUUCUUAUCUAAGUCUAUUAACUCUGAGUUUGCUCUCUAUAUUUCCCAAGUUCUUGCUUUUCUACUAAGUAGAAUCAUCAGCGUGAAGGUGCUGUCUCCUCUGCUCCUCCUCUUCCUCUCCAGUUAAACAAAGAAAUUACUGCUGGCAAAUCUGGAAGGGACAGAAGUCCAACAUCUAAAGAUUCAUUAAAAAUGUAAAGGGUCUAAUAGCUGAAGGAUCUAAUUAGGAGGCAUCUUGGAGAAGUAGCAUAGUUCUCUAUCAGUAGUUCAUUUGUUUUUCUAGUUUAGAAGUACAGUUCACAGCCCUAAUGCAAGUGUCUCACUGUCUGUACUCUGGAAAUGCACAGAGUUCUCACAUGUUUUGAAAGAUGCUUUCUUCAAAAGUACUGAUGUGUUCAGUGGAAGAGUCAGUCCUUUGGUUGGUCUUACUGAGACAACAUGGUCUGCACCCAUUGUAGGAGUAGCAAUAAAUGCAGAUACACACAUGCUGAACCUCAACUGCAAAUCCCUUAUACAUGGCACAUGUAACUUCCCUCUGACCAGGGAAGAUAACAGUUGUGAAGCUUUAUUGCCUUCCUUGUCUCACAGAUUGAUGCCAAAUUUGUUGAAGAUUUUCUGGGAGGGGAGUGCUUAAGCUGUCCUGCUGACAGAUAUUCCCUGGGAACUGUCUGUGCUCAUUUGAGAUUCCUCUCUUCCAUCUUCAGCCAUAUAGAAGCUCAGUUUCUAGGCUCAGCUAGUUGUUUAGCUUGUGACUGUGGUAAAUGAAGAGUUACACACCUCUGGAGGUAAUUAACGCGUGGAAAUAGAUGUAAUUAAUUACAUUUCUGACAUGAUUUCCUGCUGCCUGAAGAGAACAAUUUUAACACUACUUGGCUGUCCUCAAGAGACCGCGGAUGGGUUCAUCUCGGGUGAUGUUUGUAAUCGGCUGAAGUCAGCUUGCACAGAGCUGCCAGCAGCAGGCACAGAAUGUGCAGGUAUGACACUGCAGAAGGGAACAAGUACAGUCCUUAACUUCUUGAAUUAUACUGCAGCAGGGCAAAGUUUGAGGCUUUUUCAUGCCUUGAGGAAAUUGUUCAGUCCUGUCCACAGCGUUAAAGCAUCAGCAUUUCUUGCACCCGCCAGAACAGUGUUAUUUUACAGCCACACGGGGCACAGCGGUUGCCUUCUGUCAUCAGAACACGCUGUGCUGUUGUGCUGCUGUUGCUUCGGGUAAUUUGUUCUCGCUGAAGCUCUGUGAUGUGCCUAUGGAGUGCUUCGCAGAAUGUCACUGUGAGCGUGGCUGUGCCUCAUCUGUGCAAACACUGGGAGUUGUUUGACUCGAUUCCGUAGACGCGACUUGGGUUUGUUUGUUCUGCCAGCUGAGAUGAGACGUUGAAGACAGGUUAUAAAAAAUACAUCUGUUUGAAAAGAUUAAAUGGUUUAAAACACACUUGAGUAAUAGAGUUCCAAGAAAAAUCCUUGUGUCAGACUUCCUAGAAAUUGUGGUGGAACCAGGUGGUAAGUGCCAGCACUGAGCAGUUAAUUAACGCAGCCCUUACUUUAGCUUUGGGCACACACCUCUAGUGUUACAAAUACCCACAAACGGUGGGACUGGUCCAUCUUUGGGACCAGUCAGCAUGUAGGGACUGAUACACUGACUGUUUCACACGCUGUUAUUUCUGCUACUGCUGCUAAAAAUAAUAUGUUUCAGCAUUUAGCAGGAGGCAUUUCGCAUGGUGUUUUGCUGUCACUAGAGGGAGUUCGCAGCAGUGCUUCUCUUACUGACGUCCUCGGUGAUCUCUGUGCUGUGGGGAGACCUUGGCAGACACUGUGCGAGGACGACGGCAGUUCUGAAAGUAGGAUGAGGGUCCUUCUUCCUUCGGUAAACCCUGGUAUGUGUUGUAAUCUGGAUUAACAACAUUCUUCAGGGUAAUAGUGCUGUAAGCAGUUUUGUUUCUGUUGGUAGCGCUGUAAUAGAAAACAAAUGAGCAUUCAGUGACUCAAAGCAGAAUCAGGAAGUAAGAAAAAAGCAUUGAUUAUUUAAUAGGAAAAAACAAAGAUGGAAAAAACCACCAUGGAUAGAUAUUCUUCUGAUUUAUUGUUACAGGAAUAAGAUCUUGGCUAGAAACAAGCUCCCUCAGGAAGCUGGUUUCAUAUGGUGGUUUAGAUUUAACUAUUUAUUGUCUAGCACCAUUUGAAAUCAGUGUUCUUGGAGGAAGAAUGCCUGCUGUGUUCGUCAGUGAAAUGGAUCCUCGGAAACACUGGUGGAGAAGAAGGUCAAGAUCUUUGUGUGCUUCUGUUGCUAGACUUAGCUUCACCACUGGACAGACUCCUUAAGUAGGCUGUGACCUCAGAGUGCAUGGCUCAGACAGCCCUUGGGAGAGCAGUGCAAUAUGUGAUUUCAAAGGCAGAAAUUCUGUUGUAAUGGUGCUGGCCACGAGCAUGUUUAUAGUAUUUGUAGGUGGUCAACCAGAACUUGGAAACAGAGAAGGACUUACGAGACAUAAACAUUGCAGAAAAGCAUAAUAUGGAAUUGUAACACAGCGUUGAAGACACUGAUGUUAAAACUGCCCCUGUUGAAUUACAUUCUUACGGUAUGGCGAGAAAUGAGGAAGGGAGCCUCAUUUGCUCUGCUUUCAGCCCGUUGUGGAUGCCUUUUUGGGUUUUAGUUCUUUACUGCCUCUGUAAGUGUUUAUACAUACAGUGUGUGUAUCAUACAUUACACUGAAAGUUCUGGAUGCUGUCCACAUCCAGAUGCUGCAUGGUUGCAUUUUGAUGUGGUAUGCUUGACAGAUUUGAAUGUGUUUGUUUAUUUUUUAGGUCUUUCAGAGUUCAGGUUACAAGUUGGUAGCUUAACGUGCUAGGUGUAGUCAGUGGAAAUAACCAGCAUCAGUAUCUGUGAAAACUGAACCAAACAUAGUAGAGCACAUUGACUGAGGCUACUCUGUACAAUUCCAAAGGAGUAUGUAACUAAAGAUUUUGAAAGUUUUCAUCUUCUAAAUCUUUGUCUGAAGUGUUUCAACUGUUCUUCUAGGGAAUAAUGCCACAGUGGUAACUAAUGAAUGUUUUCAAGUAUUUGGGGAUCCUCCAAUGUAAAACACUGUUUAGUACCUAACUCUUCAUCCUUGCAGAUCUCAGUAACCCCUUUAGAGGAUGACUGAUUUCUUUUGGUGUUCAGAGUCAAUAAUAUUUUCUAGCACCAUUUGAAAUCGGUUAUAGUGAUUGGGGA